CAUCCGAUCCCUAGUCGGCAUAGUUUAUGGUUAAGACUACGACGGUAUCUGAUCGUCUUCGAUCCCCUAACUUUCGUUCUUGAUUAAUGAAAACAUCCUUGGCAAAUGCUUUCGCAGUAGUUAGUCUUCAAUAAAUCCAAGAAUUUCACCUCUGACAAUUGAAUACUAAUGCCCCCAACUAUCCCUAUUAAUCAUUACGUCAAUCCUAGAAACCAACAAAAUAAGAUCGAACGUCCUAUUUCAUUAUUCCAUGCUAAUGUAUUCAAGCGUUAGCUUGCUUUAAACACUCUAAUUUUUUCAAAGUAACAGUCCAAAUUCCCCGCAACACCAAAUUAAUGGCAUUACGGUUCAUAAGGAAGGAGGAAUCAGUGAGACCAGUACAUACCAGAGGCAUGACCAACCUACUAACCCCGAAAUUCAACUACGAGCUUUUUAACUGCAACAACUUUAAUAUACGCUAUUGGAGCUGGAAUUACCGCGGCUGCUGGCACCAGACUUGCCCUCCAAUUGUUCCUCGUUAAGAGAUUUAAAUUGUACUCAUUCCAAUUACGAGAUCCUAAAGAACCCCGUAUUGUUAUUUAUUGUCACUACCUCCCCGUGUCGGGAUUGGGUAAUUUGCGCGCCUGCUGCCAUCCUUGGAUGUGGUAGCCGUUUCUCAGGCUCCCUCUCCGGUGUCGUGCCCUAACACCCCGUUACCCGUUACCACCAUGGUAGGCCUCUAUCCUACCAU
rnacentral:rRNA from 1 species